GGAGCUGUGGCUCAGUGGUAAGCCAUCUGCUUCGUAGGCAUAAGGUCCCGGGUUCUAUCCUCAGCAUCUCCA
rnacentral:tRNA from 1 species